AUGUUUCUGUGCUCUCUGGCUGUCUUUAUGAUCGUGCUAGAUGACUGUUCUGCACAGUCAAUAACACCACUGAGGAACAGAAUACUAGUUCAUGCUCUUGAAGAUGAGAAAAUUACUCUUUCCUGCAAGUAUGAGGGAACAGUCCAAGACCUACAUUGGUAUCGCCAGUAUCCUGGAUCCAGACCAGAGUUCCUGCUGAAGAUCUUACCAUCAGAAAUGAAAACUGUAAUACCUGCAACUCCUCCAUUCAAACACCUGGAUGCUGACAUUAGUCUAAGUGAAAAAAGAGUGGAUCUGUUGAUCUCCUCUGCUGCAGUAUCAGACUCUGCACUGUACUACUGUGCCCUGAGGCCCACAGUGACAGGAAACCCAAUCCACUGA